rnacentral:rRNA from 1 species
UAGGGAAUCUUCGGCAAUGGACGAAAGUCUGACCGAGCAACGCCGCGUGAGUGAAGAAGGUUUUCGGAUCGUAAAACUCUGUUGUUAGAGAAGAACAAGGACGUUAGUAACUGAACGUCCCCUGACGGUAUCUAACCAGAAAGCCACGGCUAACUACGUGCCAGCAGCCGCGGUAAUACGUAGGUGGCAAGCGUUGUCCGGAUUUAUUGGGCGUAAAGCGAGCGCAGGCGGUUUCUUAAGUCUGAUGUGAAAGCCCACGGCUCAACCGGGGAGGGUCAGUGGAAACUGGGAGACUUGAGUGCAGAAGAGGAGAGUGGAAUUCCAUGUGUAGCGGUGAAAUGCGUAGAUAUAUGGAGGAACACCAGUGGCGAAGGCGGCUCUCUGGUCUGUAACUGACGCUGAGGCUCGAAAGCGUGGGGAGCAAACAGG